GGAACAUGGAAGAUUUGAUCUUUUCCAUGCUCUCCACAGGCUUUCUUGAACAUGCUGCUCAAACCCGUCUUCUGCCAUGUUCUUGGAGAAGCAAAGUUGAGUGACAAGUUUAAGAAUGCCUGGGGAAAACAUGGAAAUGAAUUACAAGGUCGGUCACAAUGCAUAUUCC
rnacentral:pre_miRNA from 1 species